UCUCCCACCACCUUUUCCCCCCAUUUCCAAAACCUGAAAACACCUGCGAAAUUCCCAUCAAAAUCCAAUUUCAGUCCAAUCUAGGUUAAUUUUGCCUCAAAUUCUACUCAACUUCUUCUCUCAUGACUGUCAUAGCGCUUCCCGCCGCAAACGAGGAAGAACACGCACGCGUGCGUGUUUUUUUAUGUGUGUUUUUAGCUCUCUUUCGGUGCAAGAACGAGCUUCAGUGAUAUUCAACUGCUCUCUGUUUAGGUCUAGUUUGCGAUCAAGUGAUUGGGGUGUAUGCGAAAAGAGGACGAGGACAUGUUAGUUCCUCGAUCAGAUUUGGUGGAAGGACCUCAGCCGAUGGCAGUGGAAGCACCAGAAGCAACAGAAAAUAACGCUGCAAACCAACCAACAGAGGUUCCCCGCACAAAAAAAAUUACUUGGAAGAUUGAGAAUUUUUCUAGGAUAACUGCUAAGAGGAUCUAUUCUGGAAUAUUUGAUGUUGGUGAUUACAAAUGGCAGAUUUUAAUUUUUCCGAAGGGGAACGAUAUUGAUGCCUUAUCCAUGUAUCUGGGUGUUACUGAUUCUGCCAGUUUACCUUAUGGAUGGACUAGAUAUACCCACUUCAGUUUGGCUAUUGUGAAUCAAGUCCAUAGCAAGUAUUCAGUCAGAAAGGAAACACAAUACCAAUUCAGUGCCCGAAAAAUUGAUUGGGGCUUUGCAUCCUUUAUGCCACUUGGUGAGCUUUAUGAUCCUAGCAGGGGUUAUCUUGUCAAUGACACUUGUUUAGUUGAAGCUGAGGUUGGGGUGGACACAGCUAUGGAUCCGUGGCUAUAUGAUUCGAAGAAAGAAACUGGUUUCGUGGGACUUAAAAACCAAGGGGCUACCUGCUAUAUGAACUCUCUCCUCCAAACUCUGUACCAUAUUCCUUACUUCAGAAAGGUUGUGUACCACAUGCCUACGAAUGUUAAUGAUAUGCCAUCUGCAAGUAUCCCUCUGGCUAUGCAGCGUUUAUUUUACAAGCUUCAGUACAGCGAUACUAGUGUUGCAACAAAGGAGUUGACAAAAUCCUUUGGAUGGGACAGCUAUGAAUCUUUCUUGCAACACGACGUACAAGAACUCAAUAGAGUUCUUUGCGCGAAGCUUGAAGAGAAAAUGAAGAGAACUGUUGUGGAAGGUGCCAUACAACAGUUAUUUGAAGGGCACCAUAUGAACUACAUUGAGUGCAUUAAUGUGGAUUACAAAUCUAGUAGAAAAGAGUCAUUCUAUGAUCUUCAGCUCGAUGUCAAAGGCUGCCAUGAUGUCUAUGCUUCUUUUGACAAGUAUGUUGCGGUUGAAAAUCUAGAUGGAGAUAACAAGUAUCAUGCUGAACAGCAUGGUUUGCAGGAUGCUAAGAAAGGAGUGCUUUUUAUUGACUUCCCCCCAGUUCUCCAGCUUCACUUAAAGCGGUUUGAGUAUGACUUUGUGUGUGAUGUUAUGGGAAAGAUAAAUGACCACUAUGAGUUCCCUCUUCAACUUGAUCUUGAUAGAGAUGAUGGCAAAUACUUGUCACCUGAUGCUGAUAGAAGAGUUUGUAACCUCUAUACACUUCACAGUGUUUUGGUCCAUAGUGGUGGUGUGCACGGUGGUCACUAUUAUGCCUUUAUACGGCCUACUCUUUCCGGCCAGUGGUAUAAGUUUGAUGAUGAACGAGUGACAAAAGAAGAUGCGAAAAAUGCAUUAGAUGAGCUGUAUGGUGGUGGUGAAGAAGAACAACCGAUGCAGAAGAUUCAGGGAGUCAACAAGUUUACCAAACACUCAAAUGCUUAUAUGCUGGUGUAUAUACGUGACAGUGUCAAGGAUAAAAUUAUGUGUCAUGUCGAUGAGAAGCAUAUUGCUGAGAAUCUUAGGGAGAAGCUGAAGAGAGAACAAGAAGAAAAAGAACAAAAAAGGAAAGACAAAUCUGAAGCUCAUCUUUACACGAUUGUAAAGGUAGCAUGUGAUGAAGAUUUUUUUUAUCAGAUUGGACGUCAUGUUAUCUUUGAUUUAGUCAAUCAUAAUAUGGUUAAGAGCCUCCGGGUCCAGAAGCUGAUGCCAUUUAAUGAUUUCAAGGAAGUGGUUGAAAAUGAAUUUGGUAUACCGGUGCAAUUCCAACGGUUUUGGCUGUGGGAAAAGCGCCUAAAUCACACUCUUCGUCCUGUCCGUCCAUUGACACAGGAUGAGGAAGCACAAACUGUUGGGCAUUUGAUGAGUAUAGCUAGUAAUGUUCAAAAUAAAGAGUUGAGGCUAUUCUUUGAGUUUGAACUUGGGCCGGAUUCACUGCCUAUCCCUCUCCCUAAUAAGGAAAAAGAUGACAUUUUGUUAUUCUUCAAGCUUUAUGAUCCAGAAAAGCAAGAGCUUAGAUAUGUUGGUAGACUUUUUGUGAAUAGCUUGGGAAAGCCAGUAGAUAUCUUUCCUAGACUAAUUGAGAUGGCUGGCUAUGCUCCUGAGGAAGAUAUUGAGCUUUAUGAGGAAAUAAGAUUUUAUCCUAAUGUGUUGUGUGAUCAUAUGAAGAAGCGAUCGACUUUUAGAGCUAGCCAGCUUGAGGAUGGGGACAUAGUUUGCUUUCAGAAGUCCCUUCCAACCGAAGUGCAACAGCAACUUCGUUGCCCUGAUGUUCGGUCAUUCUUUGAGUACCACCAUAAUCUUCAAGUUAUUCAUUUUCGGCCCCUAGAAAAGACUAAAGAAUAUGAAUUUGGUUUAGAACUGUCAAAGCUUGACAAAUAUGAUGCAGUUGUAGAAAAAGUGGCUCGCCGACUUGGAUUAAAUGAUCCUUCUAAAAUUAGACUCACGUCAUGCAAUUCAUUCACCCAACAACCUAAACCUCAUCCUAUAAAGUAUAGAGGAGUAGUUACUUUACUAGAUAUGUUACUGCAUUACAAUCAGGUUUCUGAUAUAUUGUACUACGAAGUCCUGGAUAUACCUCUGCCAGAAUUGGAAGGCUUAAGAACGCUUAGAGUGGCUUUCCGUCAUGGGACAAAUGAUGAAAUGGAAAUUAACUCUAUAAGACGGUCCAAGGAUAGCACUGUGGCUGAUUUGCUUGAUGAUCUCAGGAUGAAGAUUCAGCUGUCUCGUCCUGAUGCAGAACUCAGAUUGCUGGAAGUAUUCGCCCACAAGAUCUACAAGAUAUUUCCUUCAGGUGAAAAGAUAGAACGCAUAAAUGACAACUAUUUGGCUUUACAGGCAGAAGAGAUACCUGAAGAAGAGAAACAUCUCGGUCCCCAUGAUUGCUUGAUUCAUGUAUAUCACUUUAUGAAUGAAGGAAAUCAGAACAAAGCGAAAAUUCAGAAUUUUGGUGAGCCCUUUUUAUUGGCCAUUCAUGCAGACGAGAUUUUAGCUAAUGUCAAGAUUCGUGUUCAGAAAAAGUUACAAGUAUCAGAUGAAGAGUUCUCUAAGUGGAAAUUUGCUUUUGUUUCACAAGAUCUAACCGAGUACCUAGAGGAUUCAGAAAUUUUGUUUUCUCGAUUCCAGGUCUCUUUUUGUAUCUUAUACACACUCUCCCUCUCGCUCUCCUUACACACACAAUCAAAAAGGAAAAAAAACCUCUCUCAUUUCUCUGUUGAGCAUCCACUGAUAUUAUAUUGUUAAGAUGAGCCAACAUCUCAUAAUAUUCGUAUUUAUUCUUCUGAAUCUCGGGCCAGCAGUCAAGAAGCAUGUAUAUUUGGGAGCAGUAUCUUGGGCUGGAACACAAAAGACCUCUUGCAGCUAAUCAGUAUCGUCAACCAUCCGUGAAGAUAUACAAUUAAGAGGGUAAUGGAACAGGAUUCUGGAGUGGUCGAGUUUUGUAACUACCAGAGGCACUUCUUUCUCCUUUCGUGCCAAGGACACCCUGUAACCAAAGAUCGAGUCAGAAAUGCAUUUUACAGUAUAGAUUCUAACAUUCAUUGUUGCAUACCACAGAUUGAUUCAGAAAUGCAUUUCACAGUUUAGAUUCUAACAUUUCAUUGUUGCAAGGUCUUCAUCAGAAACCACAGAUUGAUUCAGAAAUGCAUUUCACUUGUUAGAUUCUGAAAAACCGGUGCUGCAAGCUCCUCAGCAGAUAUUAGUCUAUGAGAUCUCUCCAGAUGGAUACUUUGUUGUCUGAAAUUACCAUGGCUUCCAUCAGAUGAUGGUUCGAUUAGUAAAUUUUGUUGAUUCGUAGGUUCUUAGAAUGAAAUUUUGGCCUGUGUAUGCUAGCGCUGUAGAAAGGGUCGUCAAGAUUUUGGUUUCAAUCGUAAGAUGUACAUGUGUAUAAAACUAGUAGGAAACUUUGGAUGUUGUACAACUACCUUUGAACUUGAUUUCAGAGUUAUAAUUCUUGUGGUAA